GGCCCCUCGGCUACUUACCGGGAGGAAGGACAGCCGAGAUCCCGGGGCCCCGGGCCGGACCGCGGAGAUGCCCCAAACUGACACGGCCGCCAUCUUGGAGACAGAAGAAGACAGCCAUGUAUGAACCAAGACACCAUGGAGCAACCAGGGCCGCAUUUACCCUUCCACCUGAAACAACAGCAACCACAAAAAACAGACAUAAUAUACAAAACAUUGGUUUUCAAGAUGCUGGACAUCAGGUAAUGAAGGACAGUGACUCCUGUGAGAUAGGAGGGAAAUGAGCUGACCCUACAAUUGCCUCAGCCUGUGAGGGUUCCCAGGCCAGGGCACAGGCAAGAGAGACUGAGGCAGAGCCCAGGGGAUUCCCUGGGUCAGGGAGACGGAGCUGAGAAUGGAGAAAGGCCACAGGGACUAAAGUUCUUGGGGCAAAGUCCCAAAGAAGAGAGAGCUGCGUGGAGAGAGGGAGAGAGCUCAGAGAUCUGCAGAGGGUCUUCCUGAGCCUUCACUGAGUGCUGAGCAGUGCGGAUGUGCCAGGGAACGAUCAGACGCUGGGGACAGAACCACCCAACAGAAUUCAAGAUAAGAGUGCUCAGUGCUGACACGGGACCAGGACCAGGGUCUGUUUCCACCAGCCAGAGCAGAAGCCUGAAGAGUCCCAGACACCAGGGAGGCUUCCCAGAAGAAACUAGCCUCAGCAGUGAGGAAUAAUUAGCCUAGACUGAGCACAGCGCCAGAAUCCCCCACCAAAUCAUGACAGCAACCCGAAGGGAUUGAACUGUUUCCAACAAACUUAACUGCAUCGCAGAACAAAGCACACAAUUAUUUAUAGGAACACAAACAUAUCCAGCACCCAGCGAAGUAAAAUUCAUGGUGUCUGACAUCCAAUAAAAAAUAACCAGUCAUGCAAAGAAGGAAAAUAUGACCCAUAGUAAGGAGAUAAAUACAUCAAUCAAAACUGACAUAGAACUGACACAGAAGCCAGGAUUAGCAGACAAGGACAUUAAAACAGUUAUUAUAACUGUGUUCCAUAUGUUCAAAAAGUCAAGGAGAGACAUAUUUGCCUUUUUGCUUUUUUUCUCUGCUGAAUAAUUCUGUCCAAAAACUAAGAUCACGGAGGCUCAAGUCG
rnacentral:lncRNA from 10 species